CGUCUCGAAUCUCUCUGAACUGGAGAAUUCCCUGGUCAGUCGGUGGGCUGUAUCCGAACUUAGAGAGACUCGUCCUCCUUAAAUGCUUUAAAUUAAAAAAAGAUCUAUCCAAGGAGGGGUUCCUAGUCAGGAGUGUCCAUAGGCAGUGAUAAAAGUUGAGUGUAUUUUGGGCAUGUAAAAAAAAAGGAACCAAAAAUCAACAUGGCAACCCUGACAAUUUGAAAAAUGUUAUGGAAGAGAGCAACUUAGAGGUCAUGCCGUUUCAGUAGAUCAGCUAUAGCCAGCUGUGACGAGAGGUGAAGGAAAUAAACAAAGACGUUGGUAUUUACAAUUAUAUCUCUACAACAAAAUCCUCAAUCCUCCGUCUUAUAAGAGUAUACACAAAGGUGUCAGGAAAAUUGGCAUUGAAAAAAAACCCCGGGAAAGCGACAAAGUGUAAAAAAUGAAAAAUAUAUUUUAAGCUGAUAUAAUAUCUAUCAACAAUUUUAUACAAACAAACUCGACAGUGAUUGGUAUAUAAGAAGUGUUAAUCCCGUAAUUAUCCGUCAUUAAUAUCAUUAGACUUGAUUGAUAUUUAUUCAUAUUGGAUUGUCGAAAAAUCAUUAUCAUAAUAUAUUGAUAAAUAUAAAGAACUUGAAAUCUUCAAAACCCGGAAAACUGCCCAUGGAGU
rnacentral:lncRNA from 1 species